UCGACUUGCUAGUUAUGUUGAAAAAGAGUUCUAAAAGACUGAUGGGUCCGACAUCAGCUAAAAUGAAAAGGCUAAAGGAAUGUUAGCAUGGUAAGUCUGAUUAAAAAAGAACAAGCAUUAAAAGAUAAAAAAAAACCCAUAGCACUCUGGUCUAGUACAUGUACUUUAUGGUUGCUACAACCACUUUGAAAGCUUCAAGGUCAGGGUGGUCAAGAUUAUUCCACAGUACAUCUGAAACUUUGUGGUCAGGUUAUUCUACAAGGUCAAGGUUAUUCCAUAGUAUUACUUGGGUGCAAGAUGGUAUAUGCAUUUUCUAGCUGUGGACGGACAAGUAUUUGUAUGCUUAUGUUUUGACGUUUUCGUUUGUUGUUGCGAUGAUUAUGAAAUUAAGGGUUUAAUAGCAUUUAAAGAUAUUUAAGUGAUAUUUUACAUCUGUCACACUAUUUUGCACUGACCAUUAACUAUAAAAUAUAGCCAUGGAGUAAAUAUUUGGUUUUGAUGACAGCUUUGAUUUUUGUGACAUGAAGUGCCUAAUUUAGAAGGAUUAAACUCCAUGUCCCACUUAUUUUCCCAUUGUUCUAGCUUGUUAAGAUUUUCCUGGAGGAUUUUGUUUCCAUCCACAGAAUUGAUAUCAUAAUAAGGUAUAUGUAUACUACAUUAUCGUCGGCAAAGUGUCGGAUUUGAGACUUGAUUGAAAAUGGGAGAUCGCUAAUAUAAAAUAGAAAAUACUGAGGUCUAAGGAUGGAACCUUGUGGAAACCCAGAUGCCAUUGGUACUUCUUUGGAAUUUCGCCCUCAAGAACUACAAAUUGACUUUCUAUCAAGUAGAAAUGCAUAAUACCACUUGAUGACUUGUGGACAGACACCAUGAUCUUAACAAAAGUCUUACGGAAGUCGAGUACAAUUAAGUCAGUUUGUUUACGACUGGAAAUGCUGUUAAUCAGCUCACCUAUUAACUCAAUUGGUUGAGUUUUACAAUAUCUCCUUCAGAAACGCCAUGUUGCAGGUCAUAAAGAAUGUUACGUUUAGAAAGAUGGACAGAGGCAUCGGAUGCAUAGAUGUGUUCUAGUGUUUUACACAGUGAAUGAUAUAACAGAUAAUUUGCCAAGUCAUGCGGGUCCCCCUUCUUGAAUAGAGGGCAAACAAAAUCUUAUCUCUAUUUUGUGGGAACAGUGCCUGAGAAGAAAGACUAUGGAAGAUUACCAGUAGAACAUCAACAAUUUCAUCAUUAAGUUCCAGGAGGACAACUGGACAAAAAUGGUCUGGUCCUGCAGCUUUGUCUGGUUUUAGGUUAGCUAGCAAUUUGAGAAUAUCCAUUUUAUCGAUGGAAAUUUCAGAUAUUAUGGAGGCAAUGUUCAGAAGGCUAUAGAAUUUUAAGUUUUUGAAGUCAGUUUUGUCUAAGAUAAAGUGGUGAUUUGUUUAAAUACGGAUUGAUAAUUUUAAAUUUGAAAAUGAAAUAGAUUAUUUUAGUGUUUGUGGUCUUAAACCAGUGAAAUGUCAAAAAGGUUAUUCCAUAACCCUACAUAUUGCUGGUAAGUAAAUAUUUACACAGACUAUCAUCAUAACUGAGGAGAUAUAUUUACAUGCUCUUCACCAGUGUGGAUUAUAAGUCCUGCUUUGGUGUAGAAAUCUUUCGCUUGAAGAAUUUAUCCUGGUACAUGGAAGGUUGGUGGUUCUACCCAGGUGUCUAAUGAAGUUAUACCUGCAGGCACACCUUAUGUAUUCAUCCAACAACAUCAGAUGUUUAAAAAUACCAUGUCAAGAGACAAGAAAAAAUAACUGUACAGCAAUAGACCAAAUCAGUUAUUACCAUUCAUAAUUUUAUCAUGUCCAAAACAUUGCGCAAUGAUACUUAUUUCCACUUUGGUGAUUAUUACAUUUCACUCGGACUUUAUCGUAGACCCCUUUGUAAAAUCUCAAACUUUAAACUAAAAUAAAGGUAUUAAAUCCAUAUAAUAUUUGAACACAAUUUCAAAGUUUUGUUGUUUGUAGCAUCAUCUGAAGCAUGUGCAGUGAAAAAUCUUAAUUUGAUAUCUAAAAUAGUGUGAUAUUUAUUUCUAGUCACUUUAUUUUCAUUGUAAAUAUACUUCGUUAUACCCAAGUGGAAACUGGCAGGUACUCGAAAAUGCAGCUCUCUGAUUGGUCAGUUAGAACCCCUAACGUACGGUGAUGUCAUGUUAAAAUUAUAAAUUUCUGGAGGUCCAUCAUGAAUUCUGUGAAAAAUUGUAAUGAUAAUUCUUGUACAAUCUUUGUCGACGUGUCUGUGUUAUGGUUCUGGCUCUGUAGGCAAAAAGCGACAUGUACUCCAGUUCGUUUUACAGUCUGUUCCAUUGAUCUGUUCUACUAAUACAGACUUAAUAUGUAAUAUUAACGCAUGAAAUAGACCGGGCGGUUAUUGAAUGGGCACAGGCGAAAGCCACCCUUACCACAGAUGAACACUUUGAGCACCAUGGAGUGGAUUGUUGGUAAUCUGUCCGAGUCUCACCCAAACCUGAGCAAAGUCGCUACAGUGGGACUGCUUCUACCAACCUCCACAGCUGAUUGUGAGAGAGGUUUCAGCAGUUGAAUGUGUAAAGACCACCCACCAUUCACCAGUGAGCAUGAAAGUGCUUAAUGCCUUACUCAUGGUGUCCAUGCAGGGACAAAAAUUGAAUGACUUUAAUUUCAGUGGUGCAGUAAAGGAAUGGCACAGAGCCAAGACAGACACUUACCAGUAUAUGAAAACAAAAAUGCCUAUGUGUUGUUAGUGUUGGUACAAAAGAAGUGGAAGGACAUAUGUGUUGUUCAAAAAUACAUAUAAAAGAAGUGGACAUCUGUGUAGUGUAUAUGAUAUAUUGAUGGUUAUAUGAUUAUGUAAAAAUGUAGAAGUAAUGAAA